rnacentral:lncRNA from 1 species
AUGAAAGGAAGAUUUAGUACAUGUGGCAAACUUCAUUGUCUUAUAUCAAGAAACUGCCACAGUCAUCCAACCUUCAACAACUACUCUCCUGAUGAAUCAGCGACUAUCAACAUUGAGACAAGAGUCUCUAGAAGCAUUGAAGACUCAGAUGAUGGAAUCGCUGUCCAUUGUUCCUUCCUAGCCGGUCAUGGACACAAUCAGCGGAUCCACAAGAGCAUGCUGAAAAUGAGCAAGUCCGACAAAGGGAAACAGGUUUGCUGUCACUCCUACAGCAGCAGCUGGGAAGCUUCCAGUUUUCCUGUAUGAUUCUAAUGGAAUGGAUGAAAAGAGGUG